UACGUAGGGGGCAAGCGUUAUCCGGAUUUACUGGGUGUAAAGGGAGCGUAGACGGCUCGGCAAGUCUGAUGUGAAAGGCGGGGGCUUAACCCCCGGACUGCAUUGGAAACUGUCGGGCUUGAGUGCCGGAGGGGUAAGCGGAAUUCCUAGUGUAGCGGUGAAGUGCGUAGAUAUAGGAGGAACACCAGUGGCGUAGGCGGCUUACUGGACGGCAACUGACGUUGAGGCUCGAAAGCGUGGGGAGCAAACA
rnacentral:rRNA from 1 species